rnacentral:rRNA from 1 species
GAUGAACGCUAGCGGCAGGCUUAACACAUGCAAGUCGAGGGGUAUAGGUUUUCGGACCUAGAGACCGGCGCACGGGUGCGUAACGCGUAUGCAAUCUACCUUUCACAGAGGGAUAGCCCAGAGAAAUUUGGAUUAAUACCUCAUAGUAUAUAGAGUUGGCAUCAACAUUAUAUUAAAGUCACAACGGUGAAAGAUGAGCAUGCGUCCCAUUAGCUAGUUGGUAAGGUAACGGCUUACCAAGGCAACGAUGGGUAGGGGUCCUGAGAGGGAGAUCCCCCACACUGGUACUGAGACACGGACCAGACUCCUACGGGAGGCAGCAGUGAGGAAUAUUGGACAAUGGGCGCAAGCCUGAUCCAGCCAUGCCGCGUGCAGGAUGACGGUCCUAUGGAUUGUAAACUGCUUUUGUACGAGAAGAAACACUACUUCGUGAAGUAGCUUGACGGUAUCGUAAGAAUAAGGAUCGGCUAACUCCGUG